GAAAAGAAAAUAAAAAUGUUGAAGAUAGUAAGCCCCAUGUGAGUAUGCUCAUGGCAUAAAACCCAUAAGUACAUUCACUGUGGUGGCAUAAAAAUGAAAUAAAUAUAUUCCUGUCAAAAAUAAAAUUAUAAAAAUAAAAUUAAGAUCCUACUAAUGAGUAACAUUUAUUGAGGAGGCUCAAUAUGAUAAAGGCUAGAUAUUUAUGCUAACACUUAACCAGUUCCACAAAGCUUUGUUGUCUAUUUGAGCUUCACAGAAUUCAAGGAUCAAAGACGACUAGCAGACGGAGGACAUCCUAAUCGCUAUCAGAGUGCUGCCGACAUUCAAAUACACCUCCGCCACCUGCUAGCUACAUCAGAAGAAAUUACGUCAAAAUCCAGCUUGGGGGAGAGCACCCCCAUUUAUCCAGCUAAGUGUUCUACUCACGUUUAUAUUUUACUCAAAUAAUAAAAAGAUGCAUAAUCAUAUAAACCCAAAUAAACAUUUUGUGCUUAUAUAUAUAUAUCUUUGCUUAGUUUGCUAAAUAAAUAAAUAAAUAAAGUUUGCUAUGAACCCUCAUGAUAAUCUCUCACAUGGAAAUGAUGAAUAGUUGCUCUGCUAUGACUAGUUCUUAAAUUGAAAUCUCUCUCAAGUUUAGGCAUGACUGGUAUUAAUUAAGAUUUGCUCUAAACCUGAACUUGUGGGAAGAGUACUUGAUCUGAAGUCUAAGUCGUUAACGGAUAUGAUAUGGGAAGGUUGAGCUGCUAUUUAUCUGUUCCUAGAGAUGCUAGAAUUCUGGAGAAUUUUAUCUUUGACAAUCUUUAAAAUGUUGCAUGAUGAGUUCCUGUAUGGUGAGAGUUUAAAUUCCUACCACACACAUAUAUACAUGCUUGUUAGACUAUGAACCACACAUUUACUUUUUACUGCUUAUGAGCAUUGAGUGUGGUCAAGCUUUGUAGACCCUUAGGAGCUUGUCAUGUGGUUAAAUCAAGAUUCACUUGCACGUUCACUCACACAUGCUGCUUCUACUCCAGAAGUACCAUCCACAUAUAUCCAUCCAUUUCCAUCUCCAGAACAUUCUCCUAUUUCUGUUUUUCCCUGUGAAAUAAAUGCUCAAGUUAUCUUGGUUACUACCACUUGCUAUAUUAUUUCAGGAGAUGAGUGCUCUAAAAAAAAGAAAGAAAAAAAAUACAAGGAAAUAAAAAGGGGCAAGUGCCCGGAACCUCGAAAGAAAAAAAAAGUGAGACGAGAGGUAAAAAUGGACAAGUGUCCGAUAGUAGAAUUAGGGGUACAAGAUACCAACCUGAGAGAAAAGAAAAAAAAAGAAAAUAUAGAGCAUCUCAUUCUCCUCAAAAAGUUUCAAAAGAGCAAGAAAGGUAUGUAUCCCCUCAAAAGAGCAUAAGUAGAAUUAGACUUUCACCAUUAUCACCAUCAUCACCAUACACCAUUCAUUCGCCACACAUGCACAUCUUGAUUUGACUUAUUGACUUGUUCUUCUGGAUCCAUGGUUUGACUAUGCAAUAAAUGUCUUGUAAGUAUGUAUUAGCUGUCUCCCACCUAUGAGCUCCAGAUAUCAAAAGCCUUAUCAGAGUAGGGUGAGAGAGAAGGCAAUGCCACUAUGUCUUAUACCACAAAUACCACAUACUUUGAGAGAAGGCAUACACUAUUACCGCCUUGGUAAGGAUCCAGAAAUACCACAAAAGAGAGACUAGAGAGAGUCAUACAAGGAAUCUCUGAGUUUUAUUUGAAAAUCUGCAAAAACUCCAGAGCUAUAGUUAAUCGAAGAACAUGAGACAUGGCGCUUGACUAGACCUUUCUAUCUUUUAACUGCUCAAGACACAAGUGAUGGUUGCAAGCCCCAUGGUGGAAGGUACAAUGGGUAAGUUUAAAUCUUAACAGUUUACCCUAACCCAGAGAUAAGAUCUUGUUUAAAACGCAUGUGUAUUUUUAAGGCAUGAAACUGAUGCAGAAACUUUUGAGUUUAUCUUUGCUCAGGGACGAGCAAAGGUUAAGCUUGGGGGAGCUUGUUGACGGUCCUUAAUGCUCAUAUUUAAUCAGCAAUUAAUCAUAGAAAAGGAUCCAAAUGCAAACAACACCUAGACUUAGGGUUUUAUCUGACAGAAUUCCACGAGUUUUGGUGUUUGUCUAUUUCUGCAGGGGGUUAUCAGGAAAUACAGAAGAAAGGCCCACACGUCGGGAUUACAUAGAGAUAUUAACGUGCCACGCAAUUUUCUAUCAUCUAGAAGACUCCAGAAGCCACGGGAACGAACGGGAGGCCGAUCGGGCUCCGAGGCAGGGCGCCCGCCAAACUCUCCUGGGCGCCCGCCCAGCUACAGUGUCCAAUUCGGACCCGUUUCGCGUAUUAUGCUCCACCGACCUAAAGGAUCAAGGAAAACCGUGCGAUCAAUGUCGGUUUGAUCCGAUGGCCCAGAUUCACUUGAAGGGACUAUAAAACCAGACCCCCCUGGCCCCUGGAGAUCAUACCUCUUCUACAGAAUCAAAGUUAGGGUUUCAAUUCUUCAUCCAAGUAGAGAGGAUCCCUCUAGUUCUUCUAGUUCUACCUCUAGUUCAUCUAGAUCUAGUUCUAGUUCAUCUAGUUCUAGUUCUAGUUCCUCUAGUUCUAGUUCUAGUUAGUUUUAGUUGUAAUCUAGAAAAUAGGGAGAGAGAAGAGGAGAGCGGAGGAGGAGCCGGAUCUGUCGGAUCUUCCUCAACAUUAUACUUUUGCAGCAUCUGGUUCGUUCUCCAGGUUCUUCAAUUCAUAAUUCCUGAGUUCUCUAAUUACUUUUAUUUACAUUCAAGUUAUUUAUUGGAUUCCCGCUCGCAUCAAGUGCUCUAAUCUUUGAAACAUUAGAGUAGUAAUUAAUAGAUUAGACGUGGUGUUUAGUCUUGUAAUUACCUGGAAUUGCACCCAAUCCUGCGGAUUGUUGUGGUAGCCCUAGGGUAGUGACAGCCCUAACGGUCGACGUAUUCCACCACGUUCGGAUCGGUGUUUGUAGGACCGUAGUCAGACCUUCCUAGCCCCCUUCUCAUCUCUUUCUGUGGUUAGUGCUCUGAUGUCCCGAUAUAGAUAAUCUUGAAGUAAUUCUUGAUUCUUAGAUCAACUAGAGAACUCUCAGGAAACUUCCUCUCUUCCCACCAAAAAUAGUUAUAUAGUUAUCCUUAUGCGAUCUUGGAUCUUAAUUAGUACACUCACGUUCUCUGUGGAAAAUCGAUACUCUGGAAUACUCCCGGGUGAAAGCUACAUCGGUAUCCGUGCGCUUGCGGAUUUUUUCUGUUUGCGUUUAAAAUACCCAACACCGGUUUGGAACUAAGGAGAGAGAAACAAGCGUAAGAGAAGCCGUUACCCAAGAAAAUGAAAUGACAUCAGAGGGUAAGAAUCAUGACGUCGAAAAAUCUUACCCCACGAGAAGGGCGACCCGCGUAUCAGUCCCUCGACCAGCAGGCUUCGAGCCACCCCGCGUCGAGGCCCUGGGGUCUCCAGCCUGGCCAGCGCCAGGACUGGUACUCCUGCAAUCCAUUCCUCCCUUACUUGAGGCCGCGACACGACCACGAGUCAGCGGCCCCGCCGCUAGGGACUUAACCCGGGGGCCCGCCUUAGACGCGGGAGGAGGUUGGGCGUGGGGGACGGUCCGACUCGGCGCAGGCUUUGGGGGAGUGUCAGCGCGGGAGCGGUGUGGAGACGACUCCCUCUACUAACUCUCACGAGACCCGCUUGGCCCCCCCUUUGGGACUCCCGUCUGUGGGACGUCGACGCCUGUCUGAGGCGGGCCCUCGAGGAUCCGGUCGAGACGGGACGCCAUUCCCUCGGAGUCGUCGCUGUCGUCGUCGUCGCCGCCAUCAUUCUCAUCGGGGGAUUCUUCCUCAGGCUCCCCCUCUGCCUGGACUUCGAUCGACAAGCCUCCAAGGCUUGUCGUGGACCAAGAAAACUCCGAACCUCGUGUACCGAAGUUGGAACUUUCCAAUCCAGCACUUCUUGCACCUUGGCUGGAUCCACCGAUAUGCCUUCUUCAGAUAAGACAUGGCCCAAGAAAGGUACUUUCUUUAGCCAAAACUCACAUUUGCUAAACUUGGCAUAAAGCUGAUGUUCGCGCAAACGCGACAACACUAUACGCAGAUGCUCCGCAUGCUCCUCUUCAUUGUAGGAAUAUACCAAGAUAUCAUCAAUGAAGACCACCACAAACUUGUCCAAUUCGGGCAUGAACACCGAAUUCAUGAGAUACAUGAAAUGAGCAGGUGCAUUCGUGAGACCGAAGGACAUGACAAGGUACUCAUACAACCCAUACCUCGUCGAGAAAGCUGUAUUAGGUACAUCUUCAGGACGGAUCUUGAUCUGAUGGUACCCAGAUUGCAAAUCAAUCUUGGAGAAUACCUUGGCUUUAGACAACUGAUCAAACAAGAUAUCAAUGCGAGGAAGAGGAUAUUUAUUCUUGAUGGUCACCGCAUUUAGGGGACGACAGUCCACACACAUGCGCAAAGAUUGAUCCUUCUUCUUCACAAAGAUAGCCGGACAUCCCCAAGGAGAAGAACUAGGACGAAUAAGACCCUUCUUCAACAACUCAUUUAGUUGGGUCUUAAGCUCAACUAAUUCAUUGGGUGGCAUUCUAUAAGGCCUUCUAGAGAUAGGAGCGGUACCUGGAAUCAAUUCAAUUUUGAACUCCACAUCCCGAUCCGGAGGAAGCCCGGGUAAAUCAUCAGGAAAUACAUCCGGAAACUCACACACCACCGGAAUAUCCUGAAUAGCCUUAGAUGUAACUGCAUUCACAGUGUUACGGAUUUGAAUAUCCCGAGGAAGUUGCACUAGAAAUGCCUCCUUGGUAUUUGGGUCUUUCAACAUCACUACACGAGUGGUGGUGUCGAUAAGAACUCCAUUGCCACUCAUCCACUUCAUCCCCAGAAUUACAUCUAUGCCCACACCGGGUAGAACAACCAAAUUAGCAAGAAACUGACGGCCUCCUAUUUCCAGAGUUGCCCCCAAAACCACUUGAUUGGUGGAAAUAUCAUUUCCCGCAGCACUAAUGCAAUAACUGCCCUUAUCAAGUGUAAUGGCCUUGAUAUUAUGCUUAGACACAAAUUCAGAACUCAAAAAAGAAUGCGAUGCUCCCGAAUCAAAAAGCACAAGUGCAUCAUGUUGAUUGACCAGAAACUUACCAGCCGUGACUACCUCACCAGCAGGGAUUGCUUCCACAGUCGUGUAGUGAACACGCCCCUGACGGACAUUCCCUUAGUUGCCCUUCUUUGGCGGGUAAGGACAGUUGCUUUGCCAAUGCCCGGUCUGAUUGCAGUUCCAGCAUGGACGGUUGGCAGGCGGAGUCUUGGCAUAGUUGGGACCCGUGUUGCCCCUAGGAAGAGCAAUAGAGUACCCCUUGCGAAAACCUGUCUUUGCCUGAUUCUUCUUCACCGGAGGGCGGUACCGCUGGUUCGGCGUUGGAGCACGGAACGGUGGCUUAGCUGCCACUAGAGCCUUGGACUGAGAUGACCCUGUCCCGGCCUCAAAAGCCCUUUUGCGAGUCUUGGUCGCAGUGUACACAGUGUUAUAGUUCUCUUGAGUGAGAGCAUCACUGACAAACUCAUUGAAAGUUGCACACCUAGUGCGGCCCAUAGUCUUCAGCAAUUUGGGGCCCAAACCCCGCUUGAAACUAGCAAUCUUUUUCGUCUCCGUGUUCACAAACUCAGGAGCAUACCUAGACAAAUGAUUGAAAGCAUGUAAAUACUCCUUCAGAGUCUUGUUGCCCUGAGUUAACUGCAUGAACUCAGUAUGCUUCAUCUCCAUAACACCAGGAGGAAUGAAAUGCCCUUUAAAAGCAUCACGGAAAAGAUUCCAAUCAAGCACGGUGUCGGCUGGAAGAGCUUCCCGAUACUGAUUCCACUAGAUGCCUGCUGGACCCUGCAGUUGAUGAGCUGCAUACACUGCCUUCAAACUUUCAGUCAACCGAAGCAAGCGGAACUUUUGUUCCACCGUGUUCAGCCAUUCUUCAGCCUGAAGGGGUUCUUCAGCUUCUCUGAAAGGUGGGGGCUUUGUGUCCAUGAAAUCCUUGAAGCUACUGUACUGGUUGGGAGCUGGCCCUCCCUGUGCAUUACGACCACCCUGAUUUGCCAUCCGAUUGAUGGUCUUAGUGAGCAUCCUCUGAUUUUCCACCAUCAUUUGCAUUAACUCAGCAGGAUUCGGUGGUGGAGGAGGAGGUGGUGGAUUCAUGUUUGCACGCUGUUCCGCACCUCGGGUGCCACGAGACAUCUAUAAAGACACAGUCAGUGAGUAUUGAUGAUGACAAGAUUUGCCGCAAAAGAACUUGUAUUCAUGCCUGAAAGUAUUCGAGAGAAUAGCUUUACAGAAAAGGCACAAUAAUUCAAUUCCACAAAACAACAUCAUCAAUCCAACACAUGACAGAGAUAUCCGCAAUAUGCACCACAAUGGAAAACAUCGUCAUAACAUAACAAACAUGUUAAGAUUGCACAUUGGGUCCACAAAGUUAUUACACCAUCCCAGUACAUGCCAUGAGUCACGGUCAAAGCUCCGGAUUACAACAUGGUUACAAAAGCACCACGGCUGACUAGCAUACUGCAAAAUAUCCUCACAAGACACUACUCACUACUUCCUACACUCCAGGCUCGUUGUUCGAGUCAGCGUCGAAGAUCGCCUCUCCAUCCUUGUCGCUAGUCGGCUCAAGCUCCUCGUCCUCCACGUCCUCGUGCAAAGGUGGUGCAGCCGCUGCUGGUCCAUCAACCUCCAUACCAUCAUCAUCGGCCACAAUCACCUGAGGUCCCACCUCUGGAUACACGGGUAUAGGGCGAGGAAUAGGGCGUAGCAAGUUGUUGAGACAGUGAAUCUCCACAAGACCAGCCUCAAUCUGAUCCUGCAGAUAGUUCUCCCGCUCAAGCGACUGAACUCGGUGCAUCUCCCAUGCUUGGCGCCUGUUCUCCGACACACGGAGUGCAGUAUCCCUCUCACGGGUGAGCUGCACCAAGCGCUCCUGUAAGGUCUCCCUCUCUCUAGCUAACUGGCUCAUCUGAUCCUGCUUAUGAUCUCUCUCUCUAAUGGCCUUCACCCACUGCUGCCUACGGUACUCCGCAAUGUCCUCCCAGUCAUUGCGGUCCUUCUGAGCUUGCUCUAGAAGUCUAGCUUGCUUGCAAAACUUGCGAGCACGCUUUUCAGCCUUCCGCUGCGCCUCCUGGGCCCUGCGAACAGCCACCAUCACCUGUGCAUAGGUGCCCUCUCGCUGACUAAUCAGCUUGAGCACAGCCAUCAUAGCACUCAUAGCAGGACUAGAACUCUCCGCUCUCUCUCCUCUGCCUCGAACCAAAGCACAACCGUCAGCCAGUUUCCACUCCGCUGCUGCUGGGUCAGCACUGGGAAUGGAGGCCGCUGGUCCUCCCGUCAGCUCAUCACCACACCUCUGACAGAUAUCGAGCAGGAUAGUCUGGGAUGCAACCUGAGCUGCCUCCCAAGGAGUCUGCCCAUCUGAGCUACAAGUCCAGCCUGUCCAUGCCGGCUUGUCCCCAUGGGGAGGGACAACUCCCUGCACAGCAAACCACUGAAUCCCUCCUGUGCUCUCCAUCUCCCACCAAGAAUACUGAGGUGGCUUAGUAUACCCAACAGUCCGUAACACUCUCCAGAGCAGGGUAGGAGUGCCAAACUCGUGCAAGAAAGUGUCACUAGGACGGGGUGAAGCGGGUGCGUCCAUUUGUGGAAAGGAAUAGGAAUACCAUGGGUAAAAGAGGAUUAGUUUAAGCAACAUUUAUUUAAUUAAAAGGGACGACAUUGUAAGGGAAGGAGUAGACAGAAUGUAUGUAUGAAUGCGACAUGAUGCAUGCACGAACCGUACGUCCUCACAAACUUAGAAAAUUAAUAUUCUAACGGAUAUACGGUGGCAUACAUUCGUCUCUCGAUACGAUAACUAUCGGUUUACACGUGCGCUGUUAGGGUACCUGCAGAAAACUUCAUUUCAGCCCAACAGUUCCCAAAAUCUCACUCAAGAAAGCAGUAAACUAAGUGCACAUUGCUCGGACAUGCCCAACAUGCACAAACAAUGACACCACAACUACCCGAGAAAUUAAAUGCUCCCCAAUUAAGUUUCUUUCGUAGUUCCAUGGUUUCGACAUGUAACCACUCCAGAAAACCACCGCGAACACUCCCCUAGACCGCCGUUUGGACGAUCAUGCUCUCACAGCUCACACUUACCAGGGCGUAGGUGCGACGUUGCAUAAUUUAAAUCUAGCGACAUAUGUGGCUAAUUCACAUAUGAAGGCUACCUCCACCAUUAGACCAAAGGGUAGCAUAGUGCGGUCAUCACACAUCCAUACCUGAGUACUGCCGGAGAUGCAUAAAUAAAAACCCCCAAGUCAGUACUUAAAUAGCCACCUAGAGUCCUUAUGUGGGCAAGUUGGAUUCGACCACUGGCAUAACUUAAUUAUUUAUUUUACACCAUUUUAUUUAAAAACUCUUUUGUUUUAAAUACACAAACGCUGCAUUUAUAAUGCUAAACUUGCUCCGAUACCAGCUGUCACAGAACCGACCACAUUAUAAGAGUUCAAGUGCAGAAACGAUCGACUAGCAAUCAAGUUUCCAAACUUGAGCCCAUAUAAUCCCGGUAGUCAAUUGAAAUCAUGAAGGACUUCAAACCAACUCGCAACAAACCAAGAUCGUAAUAGUUCAACAUAAACACAGCGAAUGUUACAUAGUCAUUCAUUGCCGUCGAAGCGGCACCACAUCGGAGUCAUUAAGUUAUUACAACCCAAGUUCGAAGUAGCGGAAGCAAAAUAAUUACACACACUUGUUCAAAGUUCAGUUCACAAGUUUUUGUUACUGCCAGAGUCUACACCAUCCUUCCAAAAGCAUCAGAGACGAGAUUGUUAGAGAACCGUGCCCAACGGUUAGUCCUCAUCCCCAGCGGGAUGGAGACAGGUCUUGCAGAAGCCGUCAUAAAAGAUGUCAUCUGCAACAGGUGGGAAUAAACCCUGAGUACGAGAAUGUACUCAGCUAGACUUACCCGUCUAGUAAAACGUAAAAGACACCAAGGAUCAUGCAAGGCUAAAUAUCAAGUGGAGCUGGUUGACUCACCUUUUGCCAAAAACUUAACUUACGACUAAGUUAAUUUUGAGAGCAUCAUAUUUGUUUAUUAUCAGCCUACCACUAGAUUAGCACCUGUACUACAACACAUCACUUGAUUAUUACAAACAAUAAUAACCAUAUCAAAUUCAUCAUAUGUUCUUCUUGCUAUCAUCAUUAUCAUGAACCAAAUUCAUUAGUGAGUGCUACGUUUGCCGCUGCUCUGUCAAGUUCUCACUAACCAGGAGAGACGGCCAUUCGAAUCGAAUUCCUAUCCAGCUGGAGGGUUAUUCCUAGCACUCACCCAAGCAUCCCCUGCCGGAGAGCAAACGGGUCACCUUUGGUACGACUCAGGAAUCGCGGCUCCGAUCAGCGCCGCACUCCUAGGGCUACCACUCUGCCAGGGAGGUCAGGAAUUUUAACUCACCUGCCUUUGGACUUACGCCAAUGGUCCCCCGCACACCGCACUUCCUCUGGUAGUGCGCACUUUAUACUUGUCGGUCUUCCGGCCUGAGUCAUACUACUCGGCUUCGCGGUCGGAACGAGUUAUCCGGCCAACUAAGUGUUAGGCAUGCGUUCAACAUGACAAGAGGAUGUACAACGAUCGGUCCUUAGCUGCCACAGACGGAGUUACUACAAACUUGCAAAACUCCGCCCGGCUUAAGUCAAUUUAAUCAGGUUCCAUCCACGAUAGCACAUAUAGACCAUCGUGAUCCGACAUAACCCUAUAUCGCGCAGGUGACAGGAUAUCACCCGACUUCUACCGAUUAAAGCAUGGCUAAGCCGCUACUCGAUCCUAACUCUACAACCAGGAUAGGAUGAAUUAUCUGGACAAGGAUGGAAUAAAGUGCAGCAAAGGUUUCAUCACAACUCCUAUACGUAAUGCAUCAAUAGAUAUAACAUAUUAAGUAAACUUUCGAAAAUAAAGGGAGACUUAGAAUGCUCCGGGGCUUGCCUUUCACGAACGACGCCGGCUCGUGAUUCGGGCACUCAACUUCUUCUUCGGGCUCUUCGAGUCCGGCUUGCUGGACCUCCACCUCUUGGCUGCCCUCCUGACCGUCGGGAUUCACUUGCAGCUCGUAGGAGGCUGUCGCGUCCGAAGCACCUAUUGCAUGCUCGAACGAUAAGAAGAUGCACAUGCUAAAGAUGAAUGCUUGAUAACAUAAGUAACUCACUGGACACUCGUUUACGUUGCAAAAGUUAUACAAGCUCACACGAGUAAAUAAGUUACCUUAGCCCAAAACCUAUCAUGCUACUAAAACAGCAAGCAACACAAAACAAGUAUACUCAGUAAAUAAAUCAUAACUAAUGAUAGAGAGGUCCAACAAACAUGAGUGAAGACAUUCUGGAAAGCUUAUGAAAUUGUCUACAACUCAUCUUUAAACAUGGCAGCCAAAUUCAUAAAUUAAACCAGUCAUUUAAACAAAGUUCCAGGUUCUGUCCCAGAAAAACAGAGAGCACCUAUUUCUGGAACCUAACUUGGAACAGUUAUAACUUUUAAACUACUAGGCCAAUUGACCUCAAAUUUAACCACAGCUAGUUCAAUAAGUUUAUAACAACUUUGAUUUAGACAAGUUUUACAGAAAGCCAAGUUAGCACUAAACAAAAGUUAAAUCACUUCCUUGCUGUCCAAAACAGCCUUUAACCCUUUACUUAAUUAUUUAAUGACAUAACCAAAACAUAAACUAUACCAAUCACAUGGCUUAUGAACACAAGCAUAUCACAAGAUUACCAGAACAUCAGAUGGUAACCCUCAAACAUAUACUUAGCAAGGCAUUUAUUAAUUAAUUCUAGAAGAGAGUAUAAUUACAAGAUAUCAGUCAAGAUGCUCAAACAAAAAUCUACAAAAUUUACAGAAGCACAAGGAUAGCAUCAAAGCAUCACUAUAAAAAUUUCAAAGCAAAAGCACAUACCAAAUUAAAGAUAUGUAUUUAACAUGUAACUAGGUGCUUAUUUCAUAAAUUGGAAAACAUGACUUAUAUGGUGCCAAACAACAGAUUUAAGAUUAUUUAUAUCUUAGGAAUACCAUAAACAUGUUUUCUAUCAAAAUAGAGCACUAGCAUAAGCACCAAUUAUUUUAUAUGAUUUAAUUAAAUAAACAAGCCACAUUUCAAUAACAAAUUACAUAUCAAAACUGCAGUACUCCAAAAAUCAUGAAAUAUUUAUCAUAGCACUCUAAUACCAAGCAGAGGCUACCAUAAAAUUUUUAGGGCAAACUAAGCAGUAAGACAAGAGAUAUGCAUUUAUCCAUGAAUAACGAGAUUAAAUCCUUAAUAAAUAUUUUCCCAGAAAACAUGGUUCAUUUUAUAUUUUUAUUAAAAACGAGCCAUCUCAAGGAAUACCACAAAAUUUGUUUCAUAAUUUUUGGAUCUCAGAAACAGGAGAUAUGAUUUUUGCAAGAAAGACAAAAAUCAGGAUUUUGAAUAAAAGAAAAGGAGGGAAGGAGAGUGACGCUGACAGUGGACCCCGCCAGUCAGGGUCAUCGUCCUCACGGCCGAUGCGACUAUCGCCGGCGAUUUCUCCGCGACGGCGAGGUCUCCGGCCAAACCAAGGGCAUCAGCGUGAUCCCCAAACCCUAGCGACUCGAUUGACCCCCUUUUCCCCACGGCGGAGCCACCGGAAAGGGCUUGCCGUCGACGAUGGCGGCUCGGCGGAGGUGCUCGGCAUUACGCCGGAGCCCUCAGACCGGUAGAGCGCGACCUAAGGCCUUCUAUAGCACCAGCGGACUACGGUGAAGCUUCCUAGGUACGCAGCUUGGCUUGGAUCCUCAUAGAACACGCUGGCCACGAGAGCACCCAUCUCCGGCGGAAGCACGGCGGCGCUGUUGACACUAGCUAACACCACUUAGAUACUAGGUUGUCAUCCCUAGCAUGGCGCCAGAGUGUACAAAGGUAUUUAUCAAUGUAAAGGCUCUCUAGAAAAUAAUCUAUUCUAUCCGCAAGCGCACAGAUAAAACACCUCAUUGUAGCAUUUCACCAGGAUAAGUAUUCCAGGUAUCGUUAUUUAUAAUUUUGCUCAAGGGAUCUCAAGAAGAUGAAAUUAAAUCAAGGGGCAAAAUCUAUCAAGGCAUAGACUAGAGAUAAACUUGCAAGAACAUGAUUACUAAUGAGAAACUCGUCACACAGUCACAUACUUUAGCAGGGGGUAAACCAUAAAGAUAAUGAUAAUAAAGUAUAAGUUCAUGGGAUAAAGAGCACAGCGAUUAGAAAAUAGACUACUCCUCAUAUAUGUAGGUGAUGUCGGAUUAGCUAGAGAAUGGAUUCUAAGUUAUCUACUAACUACUAAGUCAUAAUCUACUCUAGUUAUCUACAAGAUCAUAUAUAGCAUAAAAGACUCUUCAUUCAUGUAUAAGGAACAUUGAUAAAGUAAAUCAGAACAUCGCAUGACUUACUCCACAAUACCGGUUCUGCCUGUCCUAUCAACGGAGGGUGGACUAUAUAAGAAUCAACGAAGCUGUCACUAUCGCGAACUACCACACGACCCGGCCAGUAGGAUACAUUUGCAGAUAAAUAACAUCUAAGCACCACGCUUACAUGUGAUCUAUCACCUAACUCCCUCGCAUCAAGAGCUAAGCGCUUUGCAAACUUAUACAUAAACUCAUUAUCAAUCAUAACUAUAUCAAAUAUAAAACUAGAGCAAACUAAGAACAUAAUAAUUAGAGACAUAAUGCAAUUAGAAUAAAGAAUUAGAGAAAGAUAUGAAUAAUACCAAUCUUUAUUACCGAAGAUCCGAAUCCAGAGCGUAGUGCUCUACUUCUCUAAUUGCUAUCUAAUUAACCUCUAAACUUGAAGAAUUAGGGAGUAGCUAAUUCUAAUUCUCUAUGGGAGAGAAGCUCUAAACCCUAACUUUGAUGGCUACCUCUGAAUAAUGAUUUCUCCUCCUCUCCUCCAGGGGCCAGGGGGUCUGGUUUUAUAGUCCCCUCAAGUGAACGUGAGCCAUUGGAUCAAACCGACAUAAAUUGUAUGGUUUAGAUUGAUCCUUUAGGUCGGUGGAGUCUUGCCCCAAAGCAGAGUCCUGUUUGGAGUCCAACCCUGGGCGGGCGCCCAAGGGGGUGGACGGGCGCCCUGCCCCCGAGCCCGAAUCCCUUCUCGUUCGUUCCCGUGGCUUUUGGACCCUUCUAGAUUGAGGAAAAUUGCGCUGCACGUAAUUAUCUCGUUGUAAACAUGACAUGUGGGCCUUCUCUCCAUAAUUCCUGAUAAACCCCUGCAGAAAUAGAUUAACACCAAAGCUCGUGGAAUUCUGUCAGAUAAAACCCUAAUUCUAGAUGUUUGUUUCAUAUUGAUCCCUUUUCAUGUUUCUUUGAUUAUUAAUUUUAGUGCUUAAGGACCGUCAACAAACUCCCCCAAGCUUACCCUUUGCUCGUCCCUGAGCAAAUAGCUAAACUCAGACAAAUCAGAAGUUGCUUCGAUGUUUUCUUUCCUGACAGGCACACAUGCUUUUACAUAAAAAUUCUUCCAGAUUAAAGUGAAGUGUUAUGGAGUUUAGAACCUGCACUUAAAUCUUAAGUAAUCGAAAGACAAAAUUGUUAAGUCAAGCACUAUCCCUCCUGUUUAUACUUCACCUUUGUUCCAGAGUUUUUCAUAAGUAAAAUAAAACUCAGAGUUCCCAGCAAUGAUUCUCUCAAGUCUCUCUAUAUGUGGUAUUUGUGGAUCCUUACCAUAUUGUCACUUACCUAUAACUAAUGGAAUAUUUAAGUGGAGCUCAUAGGAGUGAAAAAUAGCUCAUACAUAUGUUGUCUAAUCGAGCCAUGGAUCCAAAGGAACUCAGCAUAUAAUUAAAUCAAGAUGUGCAUGUGUGGUGGAGUAAAUGAUUGUGAUGGUGAAAAUGUAUAAGUGUUAAUAAAACUUAGUUCUCAUUGCUCCUCAUAUUGCUAUCUCUCCUCCUCUUUGAUCAUUGCUUUGGGAGAACAUGGGCUAUCUUUUUCUUUUCUUUUUCUCUUCUCUUUUUUUUCAGGUGGGUAGUAGACACCCCUAAUUCUACUGUCGGACACUUGUCCAUUUUUUCCGCUCAAGUGGGUAUCUUUGUACCCCUAAUUCUACUUCGGACACUUGUCCAUUUUUACCUCUCGUCUCACUUUCUUUUCUUUCCUUUUCGAGGUUCCGGGCACUUGCUCCUUUUUAUUUCCUCGUAUAUUUUUGCAUAACCCUUGCCUCUUCUGCAUUGAAUCUUUUUAGAGAGAGAAUAACAAUAUUCAGGACAGCGAGUGAUAAUAUUUUUAGCAAAUUUAAUGAUUGGUGGUGAAUGCUGUGGUAGAUGUGUGCAAGUGAAUAUCUUAAUUUAACCACAUGAAAAGCUCCUAAGGGUCUAGACAGCUCGAUCAAACUCAAUGUGAAUAUAGUAAAAGAUGUUAUAGCAAGUAUGGCUGCGGUAGGUAGUUUAUUAUGCUAGGAACUCAUCAUGUGAUUUGUAAGUUUUCAAAAUAAAUCUCCAGAACUUAGUGUAGUAGAAACAAGAUAAACAGUAGCCCAACUUUAUAUCAUGCCUUUCUCUUACCUAGACUUUAGUUUUAUGCUUCCCAAAGAUAGUAAUUUUAGUUUUAGUAAUUCCUGGAAGAAUUCUAAUAUAAAAGCUAGGUACUUGUAAGUAAGCAAACAGAGCAACUGUUCAUCAUUUCCAUCAUGCAUUUUUUUGGUUUUUUUAUUUUUGUCUAGAGAUUAAACUUAGCAGAAAAAUAAAGCACACUUAUCUACACAUUCUUUCUAUUUUGUUUUCAUGUUUAUUAAAAUGCAGUAAAUUAAAGCAAGAAAAUAUUUAUUUGGUUUUCUAAGUUUUUCCUUUUAAGAUAAAUUAAAUACUAAGACAGAAUAGAAUAAAUAAGAAGAGCAAAUAAAAACUUACUUGAUAAAUUGGGGAGGAACUCCCCCAAGCUGGAUGUUGACGUCGGUCUUACCCGAUGUUCCAGAACCGCAUCAUAGUUGUGAUGUUGUCAUUCAUUGUUGUUGUAUCUUGUCUUAGUUCUUGCACUGCAGCGGCAUGGUCCUGGUUCCAUUUUUGUUGCUCUUCCAGGAGUCUUCCAUGUUCUGCUUGCUUGUUCUGGAUGUUGAGGAGGGUGUUGUCGGUACGAGUGAAGAAAGCAUCGGCCUCUUGAUAGUAGUCAUUCGUGAAAGCGUAGAAGGCGUCGGAGUAUCGUCCUGCAUCAAAUUGGGGCGGAGGUCUGGAUCCUGAAGCUCCAUAUGGAUCAGUGGAGUACCUGCCCAUAUGAAAAGGCGGGUUUGUCCACUGGUGAUCUUGGCUCUCCGGCCAUGUCUCCUCUGUUGGCUCUUGUGGUUGCGCAUGUCGAACCCAUGGGUCUCGAAGGAAUCGAGGAUUGUAAUCGCAAUAAUGCAGGUGCGGUGCUUCUUCUGGUCCAGGGUCAGCUCCAUACCAGGUGCGUUCUCGGUGAGUGGUUAUCCUUUCAGAUACCACUCGCUGUGGAGUUCUCUGGUUCACUGGUGUUGCUGCAAUCUCAAUCAAAAAGUUUUGCACAACGUAGAGGCCAAGGUUCGGGUUAGGUAACCGAAUCUUGCCUUUAUCAUCAUAUAGCAUAUACAUUAUAUUCCCCUCUUUCUUUAACAUCCGAGCUUGUCUAAAUGUGUCAUAGCCAUGAUAAAUUCUUAAUUCUUCUAUGAAGUCUAACGAUGAGUUUUCUAAUAAGUGAAGAUUAGUGGCUAGACGAGUAAUAAGUGAAGUACAUCCUACUGGUCCCUGAAGACUAGGUAUACUAAGCCAAUGUGAAACUAAUAGUGUAACAGGUGAAGUAGGUACUUUACUAAUAGCAGCAUAUAAAAGUUGUAGAUCUCCUACUCUUACUUUCCUAAUAUCGUCACGAUAGAAAAGAUUGUACCCAAGCCAUUUGUGGAACAUCCUAAGAGUGGGGUGUUCCAUGUCAUUGGUUCGGGCUUGACUAUAAAAAUUAUCUCUAGAUAUUUCUCUCCAGAACUGGUGUCUCUCAAAAUUGGGUAAAUCGGAGUCAAUGUUCAGGAUGCAUCUUGAAGAGAAACCAAGAUGGUCGCUCAGCUCUCUCCAAGAUAACAUAAUUUCCUGUUUGAACAUCCGAAAAACAAUUCCCCCUCAUAGUAUUGUAAAGUGCAAAGAAAUUCGAGGGUGAGAAGACGAGAACCCAACUUAGUUAUAUUCCAAAAAUUUGUCCAACCUAACAUCUGGAAAAUUAAGUCAAAUUCAGUGUCCAUACCUGUUUCUUGUAGUAAGGUUGGAUCGAUAGUAGGGGUAUGAAUGAAAUCUUUGUUCUUCAGUUGCUGAUAGACUUCCUUCUCCCUUCGGGUCUUCAGUCCAAGGUCUCCUAUCUUGAGAAGGACCUUAACUUGCUGACCUGAUGAAGAUGACGGAGCUUGUGUGGGUGUUGGGUUGACGCUCAUCUCUGAUGGCUGUGAGGAGUGUCGGGAUGAACUCCUUGUACCAAUGUUCUUGAGAGCCUUCCCUGCAUUCUUCACCUUCUUAAACAUCCUGCAAACAAAAGUUGGCAAAAACACAACUAGUGGAAAAUGUGAGAUAAAAUGUUAGUAGUCAGCCGUCCGGAGUGUCAGUAGUCCAGGGGUUAGUCGUUCAAGAUAGGUUUCUAUUUUAGCAGAAUCUCCCCCUAAACAACUUUUGCUUCCACUUAGACAACUACUUACUAGGUGAUAAUUACUCUCUCAAAAGAACUCCAACCUUCCCUUCCACUCUCCUCUUUCUCUCUACUCUCUUCUCUUCACUACAAGAACUCCUUCUCGGGAAACUGAAACUUGUGUGGUUUUCUGGAGUGUUUGUGUGAAGAGAAGGGGAGCUGGAGGUGGCCUUUUAUAGGAGGAAAAGGGGACAGGGCGGGUGCCCUUGCUAGGUGGGCGGGCGCCCACUUGUGAUGCCCAUCCUGGGUGUGCCUCCUCCACUUGCUUCCUUGCUUUGAUCUCACGCAGAAUAAUGUUGUGUUGGUAGUGGUUGGACGGUGGAAAGAUGUCAGGUGAGUGGAAACAUAUUGGUGGAUGAAAUUAUAUAUGGGAUGUAUGUGAGGUGAAGUGUAUGACAUGUGGGACCCAAAGAGUGUGGGUCAUGCUUCUAGAAGAUUAAUAUAAUUAAAUAUAAUGCAGGAAAAUCUAUGAGAUUUAAAACUCAUUGAAAAUGAUUAUGGAAAAUAUUUUUGUGCCUCCACAAUAAUUAAUAAAUAUGGGUUGUUACACACCACGAAUAUUAUUUAUAUGGGGCUUUUUGAUUAUUAUAAUUAUGCUAUGAAUAAUGCAAAAAUUAAUUAUGCAAGAAUUUAACUAUGAGAAAAAUAAUGCGGAUAAAUACCGAUUUACCUCCCGGUGAGGGUUUGGGAUUUUUAGGUCCUCCAAGCUGGACCUCCAAUUCUUUUAAUCUUCUGAGUUUCCUUCCUCCGGAGAUGGUGUCUCCAGUGGUUCUUCAUGAACUUCCUUUACUGUAGAGUCUCUCUUUGGUCUGGGUUUGAAUGUGAAGUGUUCUUCUUGACCGUUUAUGUUGAACUUGAUUUCUCCUUUUCCGACAUCAAUGUGGGCAUUGGCAGUGCUCAGAAAUGGCCUUCCAAGGAUGAUGGACACUUUUGAGUCAGGACUCAUGUCUAGUACUACGAAGUCUACUGGCACCAGGAAAUCUCUGAUCUUGACUGGAAUGUUCUCCGCGAUGCCCAAUGGGUGUCGAACCGAUUGAUCCGCUAGUUGUAGGCACAUUGAUGUUGGUUCUAGGGUUGCAUGAUCAAGCUUUUUGUAGACUGAUGCUGGCAUCACACUGACACUUGCUCCGAGAUCACAAAGUGCAUUGUUGAAGUGUUGGUUUCCGAUCGAGCAAUCAAUAGUGGGACAUCCUGGAUCUUCCUUCUUCUUUAGUGGUUUAUUGAGGAUGGCCGCACUACAUUCUUCUGUCAGCUUGAUAACCUCAGUGGUGGGCAGUGGUCUCUUCUUGUUAAGAAUAUCUCUGAUGUACUUUGCAUAUGUAGGUACCUGUAUGGCAUCGAGUAGAGGUAUGUUGACAUAUAAUUUCUGAAUGACCUCUACAAACUUACCAAACUGCUCAUCCGACUGCAGUCCUCUGUUUCUUCUGGGAAAUGGCAAAUAGUUGGUGUCGUAAAAAUCUUUCCUCAUUUCUCCAGUUCUCGGUGGUUGGAGCAGAUCUUCUGCUUCAACUGGGCUUUCCUCUUCUAUCACUGCUGGUUGCACUGGUGCUGAUGUUCUUUGUUUUUCUUUUGGGGAUGGUGGAUCUCUGGUAGCUUUGCCUCCUCUAGUAGUUAUAUUCUUUACCUGCUCAAGGUUAGUAGCAACAGGCAGUGCAGCAGCUAAUUUUAUUAAUUUAAGCUCUACCCUUUUAUUAAGAGUGUUUUGCUCAUCAAAGGCAGUUAGUAGAAAAUCCAUUUUAUUGUAUAUAUCUUUUAGAGAUGAUUCAUUUGUAUCUAGCCUUUGUUUAACUUCAUCAUUAAUUUUGGUUUGUUGGGCAAUUAUCUCUUUUAAUGAAAGUUGCUUGACAGUAUUACCUGAAUUCAUACCUUUGCUAUUGGGUUGACUCGAAGUUGGUUGAUAUUUGUAUGCUGUCUCAAUGGCCCUUUGAUCUUCUUUGAACUUGGCCCUCUGGUCAAUCCAAUGGAGCAAAUUGUCCAUCUUAGUUGAUAACGCAUUUACUCCUUCUGGUAUUUCUUUAGUUUGAUGACAUUGUUGGGCUUUAUCUUGGAACCGGCUUUGAUUUUCUGCUAUCUUAUCCAAAAGUAUUUCUGCUUUUCCAGUUGUAAGCUCCAAGAAUGAUCCUUUAGCAGAUGCAUCUAGGCACUCACGAGCCUUCUGGGUUAAUCCAUGGUAGAAGGUCUGCAUAAGUAACCAUGUGGCCAUUCCAUGGUGAGGACAAUCUGAUAUGUAUCCUUGAAAACGCUCCCAUGCUUCUGAAAUGGCUUCUGUCUUCUGUUGUUGGAAACGACAAUAUUUCCUCUUAAGGCAGUUGUUUUGCCUAUAGGGAAAAACUUUGAUAGAAAGGCAUCUGACAAGUUCGUCCAGUUGUUGAUGUUAUCUUGAUGAGUGUAGAACCACUUCCUCACUUUUUCUUCUAGUGAGAAUGGAAAAAGGCGAAGCAGUAUGACGUCUUUGUCAACUCCGUUGAUGUGGAUUGUGCUUCCAAUCUCUAAGAAAUUCUGCAAGUGUGCACUGGCAUCUUCAUGUGCCUUUCCACUGAAUUGUGUAGCUUGUACCAAAUUGAUGAGGCUUGACUUGAGCUCAAUCUCAGGUAUUCCUUCUUCUACUGCAAAUCUUGGACCGGUUGGAAUGUUGUCAAGACUUGGAGCAGAGAAUUCUUGCAAGGUCUUUUGUGCCAUAGCUUCAGCAAUUGGUAGCUAGCUUCUUCUUCUCUUGAUUGCUUUGGUUCUGAUGAUGAAGAGUUGAAUGUACCCAAAGUCAAUCCUGUUAUACCCUGUAUAAAAAUAUAAACAUAGAAAAACAACAGGGUGAACCUGCCAAAGCAGAGGUCCUUGUAAUGAUUUCUCACUUAGUAGCUGUUUUAUGCAAUUAUUUCUCUAUAGUAUAGUCUAAUAUUUUAUGUGAAUAACUUUGAUUGAUUUUCUGGCUUCCCUUACCGUUCCUAUUUAUGACUUAUUCCUGAGACUUGUAUAAUAUCCCCGGCAACGGCGCUAGAAAUUGUUGUUGACACUAGCUAACACCACUUAGAUACUAGGUUGUCAUCCCUAGCAUGGCGCCAGAGUGUACAAAGGUAUUUAUAAAUGUAAAGGCUCUCUAGAAAAUAAUCUAUUCUAUCCGCAAGCGCACAUAUAAAACACCUCAUUGUAGCAUUUCACCAGGAUAAGUAUUCCAGGUAUCGUUAUUUAUAAUUUUGCUCAAGGGAUCUCAAGAAGAUGAAAUUAAAUCAAGGGGCAAAAUCUAUCAAGGCAUAGACUAGAGAUAAACUUGCAAGAACAUGAUUACUAAUGAGAAACUCGUCACACAGUCACAUACUUUAGCAGGGGGUAAACCAUAAAGAUAAUUAUAAUAAAGUAUAAGUUCAUGGGAUAAAGAGCGCAGCGAUUAGAAAAUAGACUACUCCUCAUAUAUGUAGGUGAUGUCGGAUUAGCUAGAGAAUGGAUUCUAAGUUAUCUACUAACUACUAAGUCAUAAUCUACUCUAGUUAUCUACAAGAUCAUAUAUAGCAUAAAAGACUCUUCAUUCAUGUAUAAGGAACAUUGAUAAAGUAAAUCAGAACAUCGCAUGACUUACUCCACAAUACCGGUUCUGCCUGUCCUAUCAACGGAGGGUGGACUAUAUAAGAAUCAAUGAAGCUGUCACUAUCGCGAACUACCACACGACCCGGCCAAUAGGAUACAUUUGCAGAUAAAUAACAUCUAAGCACCACGCUUACAUGUGAUCUAUCACCUAACUCCCUCGCGUCAAGAGCUAAGUGCUUUGCAAACUUAUACAUAAACUCAUUAUCAAUCAUAACUAUAUCAAAUAUAGAACUAGAGCAAACUAAGAACAUAAUAAUUAGAGACAUACUGCAAUUAGAACAAAGAAUUAGAGAAAGAUAUGAAUAAUACCAAUCUUUAUUACCGAAGAUCCGAAUCCAGAGCGUAGUGCUCUACUUCUCUAAUUGCUAUCUAAUCAACCUCUAAACUUGAAGGAUUAGGGAGUAGCUAAUUCUAAUUCUCUGUGGGAGAGAAGCUCUAAACCCUAACUUUGAUGGCUACCUCUGAAUAAUGAUUUCUCCUCCUCUCCUCCAGGGGCUAGGGGGUCUGGUUUUAUAGUCCCCUCAAGUGAACGUGAGCCAUUGGAUCAAACCGACAUAGAUUGUAUGGUUUAGAUUGAUCCUUUAGGUCGGUGGAGUCUUGCCCCGAAGCAGAGUCCUGUUUGGAGUCCAACCCUGGGCAGGCGCCCAAGGGGGGUGGGCGGGCGCCCUGCCCCCGAGCCCGAAUCCCUUCUCGUUCGUUCCCGUGGCUUCUGGACCCUUCUAGAUUGAGGAAAAUUGCGCGGCAUGUAAUUAUCUCGUUGUAAACAUGACAUGUGGGCCUUCUCUCCAUAAUUCCUAAUAAACCCCUGCAGAAAUAGAUAAACACCAAAGCUCGUGGAAUUCUGUCAGAUAAAACCCUAAUUCUAGAUGUUUGUUUCAUAUUGAUCCCUUUUCAUGUUUAUUUGAUUAUUAAUUUUAGUACUUAAGGACCGUCAACAGGCGCUGCGCACCGUGUCCGGCGACGGAGAGCUUGGUAGAGCGUCCACCAAUAGGCGCAAAAGCUUGCUAAGGACCUAAGCUACCUCUAGGACCUAACCAGAGACGAUGAGAGGCUUCACAGGGCUCGACAUUGAGUUCGCCGGAGAAAACGGUCACGGCGACCCGAUUUGGGGGAAGAAGGAAAUGUCGGCUCACCGGUGGGUUUCUCGGUGAGUUAGAGGGUGGAGAUUGGAGAGCGGUUCACGGCGGAGCUUUGGGUGGAGUUUGGUAGGCUGGGACGCAGCGAGGAGCGCGCACGAGCUCGCCGGAGUGAGCUCGCGACGGUGAGCUCGCUGCGGACGCUCUUCUGGCGAGUGGAGGCGUGAAAGGCGAGAGUGGACGCGUCCACUGCGUCCGGGCGACGCCGUGGAGGUCAUGCAUGCGAAGAGAGCUGAUAAGCGGGGCCAGGGACGGCGUACGGGCGCCAAAUGUCGCCGUUGUCCUGCCGCCGGUCGGCCACGUCGGCGAGCUCCAUUCUGAUUCAGACAAAACGAUGGCCGACUGACAGAGCGGCUUUGGCAACGUUUUACUCCCAAACCAGAGCGAACUAGAGGAUGAUGCAGUUGACAAAGUUGGAGUUCCAGCUGAGUUCUACAACUUUGUCAAUUGGAGCAAAAGCCAAAUCGGCCUGGAUUGAGAGAUACAGAGUUUUCAAAAUCGAUCGAGCAAACUGGUUUCGUUCCAGGACUUAGAAAAUUUUCUAAGUGUUGGAAACAGCCCCAAAUCUGCUUUGUGGGUCACUUUUGAGCUAUUUGUGUUCAUUUUCAUGAGAUGGCCAUAAAACAACUUUUGUUCCUUAUGAAAUUUUCUACAACUUUGCUGUAGAAAGUUUUGACAUGCAAACAUUUUAUGAAACACUUUUUUAAAAUCUAAGCAAAAGAGGUUUCUAGGGCCUAUUUGCACAAACAUGACUUCAAGGCAUAUUUUGGAGAAGUGAUCUACAUGAACAUUGUUCCCAAAGUCAAGUUAAACAUAGAUAAACUAAUUACCAAGGCAUUAAGCACAAGCACAAGCAUGGUUCACUCAAACAUAAACAUAGGAAGCCUAAUUAAGCAAUUUAAAACAUAUUUAUGCAUAGAAUGACAUGGCUCAAGAUAGAUGAUGGUCAUGAUAUGCUUUGAGUAGGUGAUGAUGCUUAUGCUAGGCACAUGAUCAAUGCAACCAUAACACUGGGGUGUUACAGGAGGGUCAAGUAAUUGCAUAUGCUUCUAGACAACUUAAACCCCAUGAAGAGAAUUACCCGACCCAUGAUCUUGAAUUGGCCGCCGUAGUACAUGCAUUAAAGAUCUGGCGCCAUUAUCUGUUGGGGAAUAUCUGUCAUCUAUUCACGGAUCAUAAGAGCUUGAAAUACAUCUUCACUCAAGCUGAAUUGAAUAUGCGCCAGCGCAGGUGGCUAGAGUUGAUCAAGGAUUACGACCUUGCGGUGCAUUAUCACCCUAGCAAGGCAAAUGUAGUAGCUGAUGCCCUCAGUCGUAAGGCUCACUGUAAUUGUUUAACAGUGACGCCUAGAGAUAUAACUUUGUGCCAAGAGCUAGAGAACUUGGGGAUAGAAAUGAUUUCCCAAGGAAACCUUGCCAAUCUAAAGAUUGAUUUCAAUCUCGAAGCUCAAAUCAUAGAGGCACAAAAGGAAGACAAAGGCAUGAAGUAUCUUAAAGAGAAAAUUUCUAAUAGAGUACCCACAGACUUUAAGGUGGAUGACGCAGGAGUUAUCUGGUUCAAGAACCGGUUAGUGGUUCCAAAGGUACCUGAGCUACGUCAACAAAUCCUGGAUGAAGCUCAUACCACGAGGUAUUCUAUUCAUCCGGGAAGCAAUAAGAUGUAUCAGGACCUAAAACAAUGGUUUUGGUGGACAAAAAUGAAGAUAGAAAUAGCUCGCUAUGUGGCCCAAUGCGAUACCUGCCGAAAGUUCAAAGCUAUUCAUCUCAAGUCCGCUGGGGAGUUGCAACCUUUGCCUAUCCCAGCAUGGAAAUGGGAUGACAUAAGUAUGGAUUUCAUAGUAGGAUUGCCCAAGACAGCCAAAGGCUUUGAUUCAGUUUGGGUCAUAGUGGAUCGUCUCACCAAAACAGCACAUUUCUUGCCUGUAAAGCUAUUGUAUCCUGCCUCCACCUAUGCUAAGAUUUAUUUUGAUCGUAUCCUAAGUCCGCAUGGGGUACCAAAGACAAUAGUGUCAGAUAGAGGCACACAAUUUGUCUCCCAAUUCUGGAAAUGUUUACACGAGUCCUUGGGCACCAAACUUUUAUACAGCACCGCCUACCACCCUCAAACAGGUGGGCAAACUGAAAGGGUGAAUCAAACUCUAGAAGAUCUAUUGAGAUCUUGUGCCCUGAAUUUUCCAGAUAAGUGGGAUGACUGCUUGCCUCUAGCAGAGUUUUCUUACAAUAAUAGUUACCAAGAAAGCAUCAAGAUGGCUCCCUUCGAGGCACUAUAUGGCCGUCGAUGUCGAACUCUGUUACACUGGUCAGAACCCGGAGAAAGAUGGUUCUUCGGGGUUGACUUAGUGAAAGAGACCGAGAACAAAGUUAGAAAAAUCCAAAAUAACUUGAAAGUUGUUCAGUCCCGACAGAAAAGCUAUGCCGAUAAAAGACGCCGACCGUUAAGGUUCGCCAAAGGUGAUCAUGUGUAUUUGAAAGUAUCCGCAAUGAAAGGAGUAAAUCGUUUUGCUGUUAAAGGCAAGUUAGCGCCCCGUUACAUUGGUCCAUUUCCAAUCAUUGACCGAUGUGGACAGGUAGCUUACCGCCUUAAACUGCCCGAACGAUUAUCCGGGAUACACAAUGUAUUUCAUGUGUCUCAAUUGAAAAAGUGUCUUCGGGUACCAGACCAAGUUCAAGAUAUUGAAGAUGUGGAACUUGAACCGGAUCUAACUUAUUCGGAGUAUCCUAUCCGAGUAUUGGACCAAAGAGAAAGAAUUACCCGAAGAACAACUACCAAGUGGUACAAGAUACAGUGGAGCCAGCACUUUGUAGAGGAAGCCACCUGGGAAUCUGAAGAUUACCUAAUGGAGAAUUUUCUUGAGUUCCACGCUUCUCUUCAAGACAACAUCUGAUAAAUAGGGAGUGAACUCUAGUGGAGGAGAAGAGUGGCCAAAGUCAUGUACUUAGUGUACAUAUAUGUUUAUAAUUGAGUAAUCUUCCCCAACUUCUUGCUUUAUGAGAAAGUUGAAGAUGAAAGAGUUUUGACAAAUUUCCUUUUCCAUUACUUACCCUAAGGCUUUAAAUCUUGGGGACGAGAUUUCUUUAAGGGGGAAGGGCUGUAACAUCCCCGAUGUUACGGUUACUAAAAUUUGGAUCAUGGCAUCAUCAGCAUUGCACAGCAUAUUUGUUAAGCACACCUUGAUGCAUCAACUUAAAAUGAGUUUAAUUUGGUUGAAUGUGCUCAGGGAAUUAAAGUGUGAUUAUCUUGUAUAUCGAUGCUUGUGUUGGUUGCUAAAACCCUAGGGUGAAAGAUUUCCGAAAGGCUUAGGGGGGGAAACCCUGAUUUUUGAACCCCAGAUUUGCCCCCUUUUGCACAAUUUAAAAACCAAGCAAAAUUUGAGGUUGAGUUCAAAAGCAAAGUUGUAGAUCUUGUCAAGAUGUACAAGUUUGGUGUUUUAAGUUUUUGAAGUUUCAAUAUAAAAUUCAAAGUAAUUUUGAAAAUACAGAUUUCUAGAAAGUGUCCCCUUUUCCAAUUUAAACCUCCAAUUCAAAAUCUAUGAGGAAUUUUGAACAGUGACCAACAUGAAAGUUGUAGAGCUCAAAAAGUUGAACAACUUUCAUGUUCGGAGUUUUUCAAGUUGUUUGGAAAAAUCAAAAGAAAUUUUGGAAAUUCUGAUCUGCCCCAAUUCAAAAAUUUGAAUUUCCCCAAAUUGGAUUUUGAAUUUCAAACUGUUUGGUCAAAUCACCAUGUUCCACUCAAAAUUGGCUUUGGUCACCAAAACAUGUUUUGUAGCUCACAAAAUUCUGUACGACUUUCAUUUUGGUGAAAUUUUGGCUCCAGUUCAAAUUUUGGGCGAAUUUUGCAAAACAACAAACUGAGUGGAUAUGGCUGGCUACAUUGUUCGGGCAGGGGGGUGCUCUGCCACCGGGGCAGAGCCGCGGCGUCCAGCGUCGCCACGCGCCUGGCCACGCAGGUGCUUGCUGCUGUGCCUCGCCCGGACGUCCUCAUCCGCUGCCAGUUCAACGCUGCAAGGUUAAAGCCUCGAGCCGCCGUGGAAAAUUUCUUUUUCCCCGAACCCCGACGCCGACGAGCUCCCUGCGCCUCCCAAAUUCGUCCUCCUCGCUCCCUUCCAAGCCACCUGUUGAUGCAAAACAGAUCUGCAAACACAAAGGGCUAAUACCCGAUUCAAACGUUAAGGCGUGCCAGCCGAUUUAACCUUACUAUCGGCAAAGGUGAUAACUCGAAUACUUUAGUCCUGACAACAACGAUGCGCCCGGAUGUCACGGCUAAGAGGUACUCACGCGGAACUUAAGGAUACGCCGAGCUUGAGUCGACGAAUUCCUAAGAACUCGUAACAAAAAGAAAAACGUAUGACGAAGUCGUCGAAAAGUAAAUGCUAGAAUAUGAGUAAGAGCGUGUGUUUGAUUGAUUGAUAGAUGUCCUGAUUACAAGGUCUUAGGGCUUAUAUUUAUACCCUGCUCAAAGAGCUACGACCAGACACGAUUAGAAUUCGAAUUCCAAAUUACACGGAACCCGUAUACAAAACGACACGAAUAACAUAAGGAAAUAAUAAAACUAUCCUUCGUGACAAACCGAAACUCCUCCACAUGACAACUGGCAGCUUCCGGACUCCUCCUUCGCGUCAUCGGCAAUCCCCUUGCCAUAGUCAUCGGCAGACCCUUUUACUUGGUCAUCGGCACUAUAUUACUGUCUGGGGACUUAGUCACAUUCAACCCUUCCCUCAUCGGCAACCAUCCUUACCAGCAACCCGCAUCGUACUGCCACCCUGUCCUGCCAUCCUGGACACGUGCCCAAAAAUGGUGUCAACACAUGCCCCCCAGUUUCGGAGUAUAAAACUAUUAAUGCUCCGAAAUUCUCUGCAGUAAUGAUGUCUUCUCCGCAAUUAAUGCUCCUAACCUGGUAACCGACAACCUCAAUCUGGGCAACUCUGAUCCUAAUCCUCCGCAGAUCCCUCGAAAUCCACAACUUCCCAAACGGGCAUCUCCCUUAGUCGUACAUCGGCAACAAUACCGUUACAAAGAUCUGCCGAUGCUCUGCCCAGGAUAUUCGCAAAAACGGUUACUUCCCCUCUAUCCGCCCAUCGGCAGGACGACCGUUAUAGAAUAUCACCAAUGGACCGACCAGGAGAUCGUGCACAGUAAAAUAUCUUUAGAUAAUGACCGCUUCCUGUCAAAUCACCUGCACAAUCCCUGGAUUAUCGUGCGAACAGUUACCAUAUCCACUUGAGUACCCUCGGGUUUCUCGGAUGCGGCAAAGAAAUAAGUCAGAUUUGCCCUUGUCCAUCUUGCCCUAUAAAUAGUUCCUUCUUGGGUACUCCUCCCCCAUUACAUCAUUCUGCCAUCCAACUUCACUUUUCCAGCGGCGGCGCCAUUCUCAAUCUUCAAGAUCUCCGACAAGCAUUCUUCUUCAUCAAUUCCGGCGUCUUCCAGCGUCCCCUUCACGACAAGAUGGCCGUCGGCUUCGUCGUCCCUGAGGUCAGACUUCCAUCUCAUCUGCCGUACCUUUUUCCUGCAUUCCUGUUCAUCUGCGAUUUACCUUGCCGAAUAUUUCCUUCUCCUUUUUCUUUGUAUCUUUAUUCCCCAAAACACCAGGAGUUAUCCAACAAAAUUGUCAUUCCUACCGAUCAACCACAUCUUCAAUGCCUCGGCCCUCUAGGGGAUCCAGAUCCAACCGACCUUAUCAACGCAGAAACCAACAGGAUUCCCUUUAGAGCUGAAAACUUUGCUCUAGAUCUAUGGAAGGACACCUUUCGCUCUUGGCCUAGCCCUACUGUAGGUUGGAAAGACUGGCUCUUGAGGGUCAGCAACUCUUAUGAAGUUCAAUGGGGUGAGAGGAAAUUAGCUCAAUGCAUUAGGCUGUCCAUUGCCGAUAUGCACAGGAACGAGUCAUUGCUGAUAGCAGCAUCUUACUUUUGGUCAGACACUCUCAACGCUUUUGUUUUUGGCCACGGCCCUGCUUCUCCUACCCUUGCCGAUGUAGCCAUGCUUACUGGGUUAGACAUAUCCUCUGCCGAUAGCACCCAUUUUUUUGAUACCGCCCCCAGUGCCAAAGUGGAGACUCGUGCUAUCGGCGGCUGGUCAGGGUACAUCCAGAAGUACCGUGGGAGAGGGCCUGUCACCAUAAAGGAACAAACCACUUUCCUGAACAUGUGGCUAGACAAGUUUGUAUUCUGUGGUCGAUCGGCAGGACCGACUUCUGUCUAUCUAUCGGCAGCAGAAAGACUGGCUAGCGGUGGUCAAUUUCCCCUCGGCCGUUAUUUGCUCGGCGCUGUCUAUCACCUUCUUCAUCAGAUAGUCCAGAAACUCCUGCUCGGCCAACCUAUCGGCAACUUGGGAGGUCCUUGGUGGUUUAUUAAUAUGUGGCUCAAUCUGCACCUGCACAAGCGCCUCGAUCUCAACUUGUUCUCUCAGCACUUCCCAAGAGAUAUAGCCGAGAACCAUGUGUUGGGUGAAGAGGAAUCGGCAACACGUGCCCCCCUGAACUUUGGCGAAGCUGUUAUAGUUUUACCUGGUUCAGGGAACACUCCGGAUCAGAUCGGCCGAUUCUUCGAAACGCUGUAUGAGGGUCUGGCCAGAGAUGAACGACCAUGGCUGGCUUAUGACGACCCAGAUAGCAUGCUCCCUCUGACCUUCAAUCCGUUCGACGAAGCUCUUGAUAGGGACAAUGAGGUGAUGAUGGCAAUCGUGACUCCCAGAGCCAUACCAGUGAACUUCUUCGGCAGCACGAAAACUUCUCCCCAAACUUAUGAAUUUUAUAAUCCAUCGGCAUUAGCUCGCCAGUUAGCUUUCGGCCAAUUGCCGAUCGCACUUCCUUAUGCCGAUGUAAUAAAGCCCAGAGAACCCAUCGCUAACCUCCUCGAGUGGACUCGAGUAGCCCAGCUACCACCAAAUGCCGAUACAGACGUAGAUCUGUCAGAAUGGGUUCCAGCUGCCUUUAUCACUCAAGCAUACAAGCUAUGGUGGGCAGAAUGGAAGGAGAAUCUAUUCUGCAGAUCGGCCCUCUCAUACCGCGGCAUGAUCGACCCCGAAUACGAAGUCCCUGACGACACUGUAAGUAUUUUAAACCGAUGUCUCAUUUUCCAAUACUAUUCCCAUCGGUAACUUACCCCUGUAUUCUUUUUGCAGAUUGACAACACCCCCCCAUCGGUUAGCAGGAGUGGCAAGCCGAUCGACUUAUUCCCAUCAGGCCCGAUCUCCUCAAUCGGCCACAACGCUCCCACUCUGGCUUCCAUCGUGCACCGGGGUGCGCGUCUCAAGAAAGUUACCACCAGGAAAACUCAGACAUCACCAACGGUAACUGCUUCCACUCUGGCGCAAGCUUUCAAGGCAAUCUGUUAAAACCCUUUUUAUUUAUGCUGACUAUCUUUAUAUCGGUUAUCUGUGCUCAUAAACUCUUUAUCGUUGUUGCAGCAAACUGGUGCAUCGGCAAAAGCCAAACGCCAAGGUGCCGAUCCCCCCCAGUCUAGCCAGCCAAAGAGGAAAGGCGCCCAAGGUGCUAAGACCGGAACAAAACGUCAGAAAGUGGCAACUCCUCCUCCUCCUCCGGUGUCUCCAAUCCCGGUGGAAUCUUCCCCUUCUCCUCCAGAAGUCCAGGCACAGCAAGCACCAUCUCCUCAAUCAAUACAGGAAGCACCACAGAUGGAAGAACCUCAGCAAGAAGAACCUCAAACGGCAGGUACGUCAGCUGAUGUAGGUGAACAAACAACUGGCCCGGCAGGUCCAGUUAUAUCAUCGGCGGUUUCCUCAAUUCAAACAACUGUUGUUCCUCUUCCGGGUAACAUGUCCCAACAAUACUCCUACCGAUAAACUUAUUUUCAUUUAUUCUUAUAAUCCCUCCUGUCCUCUUUCAGGCGAUAUCGUUCCAUCGGCAACAUUUGCCGAUCAACCUGCAGCUCCAUCAGCCUCUCUGAGUCAACGGCAGGAAAUCGCCUUGAAGCAAGUAAGUCAUCCACUUUCCCAUCGGUAUCAUCUGCCGAAGUUUUGACCAUAAAAUUGACCUAUUUCAUUUUCAUUUUUAGGAACAAGAUUCUCCCGACAGCUUGUUCUCCUUCGCUAUUGAUAUCUUCGAAGAAGAAGGCGAGGAAGCAAGCUCCUCUCGGGCAGUUGGAACUGUAUCGGCAGAAACCAGAGCUAGGCUGGAGGAGCUAUCGGCCAUACUUCAUCAAGACACAACUCAACUGGUCGACGAUUCUGACCCAGCCAAGGCCCUGUUCAAGACUCUUAAGGGCCAAAUUCCUGCCGAUGCCAAAGAAGCACUCUUCCACGCUGCACAUCUAGAAAGCCGCCAGCUACAGUAUCAGAGAGCUACUCGACGCCUUGCCGACAGAACUGCUCAAAUCCAGCUCUCUGAGGAGAUGAUGAAAGAAAAACUCUUAGCCGAUGAGAAACAUAAGAACAUCGGCAUCUUAAAGUCCUCAGGUGAUGCACUGAAGCAGAAAAUGUCUGAUCUAUCGGCAAAAAGAGAAGCUCUGCUGGCUGAACUCAAGCAAGUAGAAGACGCCCUGUCCCAAGCCCAGCAAGAAGAUAGUCAACUGCCGGAGACCAUCAAGCAUCUUGAACAGGAACGAAACGUCCAUGGUCGUAAAGCGCUGCAACUGAAGAAGAAGCUGAAGCCAAUUGAAGGUUCUGCCGAUGACGAUAUCAAAGAGAUAGAGACAGCCAACCAGAUUCGGCUGUGCGCCAUAUCUGCAAUCCAAGCGCUGCUGAACAUCUGAAGCUUUCAUCGGCGACACACCUUUGUUUCUCCGUUUUUAGCUUUUAGUCUAGCCGAUAAGACUGUUAUCGGCAUCUUUUGAAACAUUAAGUCUGCCCUUGAACAUUUAAAUUCAGCCGAUAGGAGUGUUAUCGGCACUUAACCUUUUAUGCAUCGAUCCAUAUGCUGGGGUAGCACUUCUUCAAAUAUUUGCCAUUUAACGCUCUGGGAAAUUCAACUCCUUCGAGAGUUUCUAGAAUAUAGGCAUUACCAGGAGCUGAGCGUUUUAUCCGAUAAGGACCUUCCCAAUUAGGAGACCACUUCCCAAACUUUGAACUUUUAGUCCCGACUGGCAAAAUCAACUUCCAUACCAAAUCCCCAUCGGCAAACUCCUUAGCCUUCACCUUUUUAUCAUACCAUCUGGCAACUCUCUUCUUAUUUUCUUCUAUACUCAUUAAAGCCUUUAACCGAUGCCCUGCUAAAUCAUCUAACUCAUCGGUCAUUAAAGUGGUAUAAUCAUCGGCAGCCAAUUGAUCUUGAAAAGAUAAUCGCCUAGAUCCAGCCUUAAUCUCCCAAGGCAAAACUGCAUCAUGUCCAUACACCAAUUGAUAAGGUGACACCUUGGUUGAUCCAUGACAAGCCAUCCGAUAAGACCACAGUGCUUCAUUCAACAAUGUAUGCCACCGCCUAGGAUUUUCUUCAAUCUUUCGUUUAAUAAGCUUGAUAAUUCCCUUGUUAGACGCUUCGGCCUGCCCAUUGGCUUGAGCAUAGUAAGGAGAAGAAUUCAACACUUUAAUUCCCAUACCGAUUGCGAAUUCAUCGAACUCCCCCGACGUGAACAUGGUGCCCUGAUCGGUAGUAAUCGUUUGGGGAAUCCCAAAUCGGUAAAUAAUAUGCUCCUUCACAAAAUCAAUCAUAUUGGCCGAUGUGACUUUCUUCAAAGGAAUAGCUUCGACCCACUUGGUGAAAUAGUCAGUGGCAACUAGAAUGAAUUUAUGCCCUUUGCUAGAUGGUGGAUAAAUCUGGCCGAUCAGAUCGAUGGCCCAUCCCCGGAACGGCCAAGGUUUUAUUAUAGGAUUCAUAGCCGAUGCGGGUGCUCUCUGGAUAUUACCGAACUUUUGACAACCUUGACAUCCCUUGAAAUAUUUAAAACAAUCUUCAAGUAUGGUUGGCCAAAAAUAUCCAUUCCUUCGAAUCAUCCACUUCAUCUUAAAAGCUGACUGAUGCGCUCCACACACUCCUUCAUGGAUUUCUCCCAUCAAACUUCUGGCUUCAUCAUCACCCAAGCACCGGAGAAGAAUUCCGUCGAUAGUUCGAUAAUACAAUUCAUUUUCAAGGAUCACAUACUUGGUUGCUUGAAAUCGAACCCGUCUUUCAACUUUUUUGGAUGGAUCCUUUAGAUAAUCAAUAAUUUCUUCCCUCCAAUCACCGGCACUGACUGCCGAUGUCGCAUUAAUCAUUGGCUGAUAUCCCGAGGCAUGCUGGGCCAACCGAUUAGCGUCUUCAUUAUGCAAUCGGGGAACAUGCUCCAAUCGGAAGUUCUUGAAUUCUUUUAACAGUCGCAUACUUCUCUCGAAAUAGGUUAUGAGAACUUCACUUCGGCAUUCAUAGCUUCCGACCAAUUGAUUUAUAACCAACAUGAAAUCUCCGAAUACUUCAACAGCAUCAGCACGAACUUCUCUUAACAACUCCAAUCCCUUGAUCAGAGCUUGAUACUCAGCCUGAUUAUUUGUUGAUGUAGCAACAAUCGGCAAGGAAAACUCAUACUUCCUCCCUUUAGGAGAAACUAAUACAAUACCGAUUCCUGCUCCUCGGUCACAGGUAGAUCCGUCAAAGAAGAGCGUCCAGGGUGCAAUUUCCAAGGUCUCCACUAGACCGCAAUGCUGAGUCACAAGAUCGGCCAUAACCUGCCCUUUGACCGCCUUAGUCGAUUCGUAACGCAAAUCGAACUCCGACAGCGCCAAAAUCCACUUACCGAUCCUACCACUCAUAAUCGGCAUAGAUAGCAUGUAUCGAACCACGUCAUCUUUGCAAACAACAGCACAUUCGGCCGACAACAGAUAAUGUCUUAGCUUGAUACAUGAGAAAUAUAAGCACAAGCACAGCUUCUCUAUGGCCGAAUACCUGGUUUCAGCAUCAAUCAACCUUCUGCUCAAAUAAUAAAUUACUCUCUCCUUCCCUUCAAAUUCUUGAACUAAAGCUGAACCGAUAACCGAUCCAUCGGUAGAUAAAUAUAAUUUGAAGGGUUUCCCUUGUUGGGGUGGAACUAAAACUGGAGGAUUCACUAGAUACUUUUUGAUCUCAUCCAGAGCCAACUGCUGUUCUUCUCCCCAAACAAACUCUUGAUCGGCUUUCAAUUUAAGAAGGGGACUGAAAGCACGAAUUCUCCCAGAUAAAUUCGAUAUAAAUCUUCUGAUAAAAUUCACCUUGCCGAUCAAGGAUUGGAGCUCGGUUUUAUUGGUAGGGGCCACUAUUUUAUUGAUGGCAUCAAUAGAUCUUCGACUAAUCUCAAUACCCCUCUGAUGUACCAUAAAACCAAGAAACUGCCCUGCCGAUACGCCAAAUGCACACUUGUUGGGAUUCAUUUUCAAUCCAUGCUUCCUUGUGCACUCCAACACUCUUCGUAAAUCGGCAAGAUGCUUUGAGAAAUCUCCAGACUUGACCACCACAUCAUCAAUAUAAAUUUCUACGAUCUUGCCGAUGAACUCAUGAAAUAUAAAAUUCAUAGCCCUUUGAUAAGUAGCACCGGCAUUCCUUAACCCAAAAGUCAUGACUAUCCAUUCAAAUAGUCCAACAUGACCAGGACACCUGAAUGCGGUUUUUGGAAUAUCCUCUUCUGCCAUGAAUAUUUGAUUGUAACCCGCAUUACCAUCCAUGAAGCUGAUGACCCGAUGACCAGCCGCAGCAUCAACCAGCAGAUCGGCGACAGGCAUCGGAUAUCCAUCCAUCGGCGUAGCUUUAUUGAGAUUCCUGAAAUCGAUGCACACCCGAAGCUUCCCGUUCUUCUUGUAAACCGGGACGACAUUGGAAAUCCAUUCAGCAUACCGACACUGCUGAAUAAACUUAGCUUCAAUAAGUUUAGUGAUUUCGGCCUUAAUAUCAGGUAGAAUGUUAGGAUUACAUCGGCGGGCUGGUUGCUGAUGUGGCCGAAAUCCAGACUUAAUGGGUAACCGAUGUUCAACAAUUGAUCGGUCUAAACCAGGCAUCUCUGUAUAAUCCCAAGCAAAGCAAUCUUUAUAUUCCUUUAACAAACUAGUUAAUUGCCGUUUACACUCAGGAUCUAGUUUAGCGCUAAUAAAAGUAGGCCUAGGCCUAUCACCACUACCUAUAUCUACUUCUACCAAAUCAUCGGCCGAUGUGAAUCCCUGGCCUAAUUUUCCAUCAUCGGCGAAUCUAUCCAUUAAAAACCAUCGUCAGAACCGACUGCUUGGAUCGGUGGAAUCUCAUAAUCGGCAACUUUGAGAAAAUCUUUCUCCCAAACUUCUCCUGAAAUGCACCUAGUCUUUUCAUAAGUAUCCGCUUCUGCCGAUGCGAUAACAUAAGAAGAAUCCCCUGGGACGAUCUCAAUCUUGUCACCUACCCACUGAACCAAGCACUGAUGCAUUGUAGAUGGGACACAACAGUUGGCAUGAAUCCAAUCUCUCCCCAAUAAUAAAUUGUAGGCACCUUUUCCGCUGAUCACGAAAAAGGUUGUCGGCAAGGUUUUGCUGCCGAUGGUCAACUCCGCACAUAUCGCCCCCUUGACCGGAGACACGUUUCCCUCGAAGUCCUUGAGCAUCAUAUCGGUCUUGGUCAAAUCUUGAUCCCCUUUCCCAAGCUUCCGAUAUACUGCAUAUGGCAUAAUAUUAAUGGCAGCCCCACCAUCAACUAGGAUCUUAGUCAUUGGCUGCCCAUCAACCCUUCCUUUGAGGAACAAAGCUUUAAGAUGCUGCCUCUCGUUAUCGGCAGGUUUCUCAAAGAUAGCCGUCAUUGGAUCCAGAGCCAACUGAGCUAUCUGAUCAGAAAAUCCCAACUCAUCGUCACUGGCCGGUGCAAGAAACUCCAUCGGCAACAUGAAUACCAUGUUGACGCCUGCCGAUGGACCUUCUUUCUUAGCGUCUGAAGGCUGCCGACUCCCAGAGUUCUCUCCUUUAUUUAGCUCUUCCUGCCUUUCACGUUGCAAUCUCCUUUUCUGUGUCUUGGUUAAUCCUUGAGGGCACCAUGGAGGAAGUGGCCUUUGUCUUGCCGUCGGGCGUUGGUUCUCUCUUGACUCCAUGCGAUGCGUGUUAGUAUCCCUGCAAAAUAUGAAUUCAUCGGGAACCCGCGCAUCAGCCAUUCUUUCAAGCUCCUCUUGGUUCCUGGGAAAAUACUGGACACGGUCACCGAGCCUAUCGUGAACGCUAAGCCUGCCCCCCAGCCGAUCAUGAACUGCCACCCUUCCUCUGAUCGGCCCAUUAAAUCGUCGUUCAUCAUCAUGAUAACGCCGAUCGUUCCUGUCGUACCGAUCAUAACCGUUGCAUUCAGGGCAGUCUCUGACAGUAGGAAGCUUGAUAUUUUCCUCCCAACAAUGGAUGAAGAAUGGGCAAUUCCAAUGAUCCCUGUGCCGAUUCCACUCCUGUCGGCGUCUUUCUUCCUCCCGUUGAUAAUCCUCCUGCUGGCGCCGAUAUCGAUCUUCCCGUUGUUGCCAUCUCUCUCGAGGCCUUCUAUGAGUUAUGACAAUACCAGACCGAGGAAGUCUUCCUGAGCUACCCCUUCCUGGACCAAGCCCUUACUUCUCGCAUCGGCGGUAGUAACUUGAUGCUGAGGAUCUACCGAUGCACUCUUCUCAGCUGUCUCCGACGUUAAGACCUUAGCCUUCCCCUUAGCGUCCAACAUGUUUGUCGGGAAAGGAUGUUGGUCUAUCUUCAUCGGCUUCUGGGCUUUAGAACUGUCAAACUUGAUUCUCCCUGACUCUAUAGCCGAUUGCAGCUGUUGUCUGAAUACUUUGCACUCGUUGGUGUCAUGUGACGUUGCAUUAUGCCACUUGCAAUAUCUCAUCCUCUUCAAUUCUUCUGCCGACGGGAUCGCAUGGUUAGGUGACAGUUUGAUCUGACCUUCCUGAAGUAGAAAGUCAAAUAUCCUAUCGGCUUUGGCGGUGUCAAAGGCAAACUUCUCUGGUUCUUUCUGCCCAAAAGGACAAGACAUCGGCUUCUUGUUUUUUACCCACUCUGCCAAACCGAUUACUGGUUCCUCGUCGGAAUCUGAGCUUGUUGCUUCGUCAACAAAUGACACUUUCUUAUUCCAUGCCCUCUUAGGCUCGAAAGGCUUGAUGUCUUGAUCGGAUAUCCUCUGCACCAAGUGACUUAAACUUUCAAACUCCUGGGAGGCAUACUUAUCCCUGAUGUGUGGCAACAAACCCUGGAAAGCCAAAUCGGCUAGCUGCCGAUCAUCCAGAACCAGGCUAUAGCAUUUAUUUUUGACCUCUCGUAUCCUCUGCACAAAUCCCUCAACCGACUCAUCAUUACGUUGCCUCAACUUGACCAGGUCGGUGAUCUUCUUCUCAUGAACCCCCGAGAAGAAGUAUCUGUGGAAUUGCUUCUCUAGAUCGGCCCAAGUAAUUACUGAAUUGGGAGGCAAUGAUAUGAACCAAGUAAAGGCCGAUCCAGACAAUGAUGAUGAAAAUAGACGAACCCUUAAUUCGUCCCUGUUACCAGCUUCUCCACAUUGAAUAAUGAACCUGUUGACAUGCUCCAUGGUUGACGUGUCGUCCUGUCCGGAAAACUUUGUAAAAUCCGGUACCUUGUACCGAUGUGGAAGCGGGAUCAAAUCAUACGCUGGAGGAUACGGUGUCCGGUAAGAAUAAGUGUUGACUUUGGGUUUUAUCCCAAAUUGUUCCCUCAUUACUUCAGCAAUCUUAUCGGCCCAAUAAGCAUCGGCAUCUUGCCGAUGAGGCGGCUGCGGAUCCGGUACUUGGUGGCGAACCUCCACGUGCCUGUUUGGGACGUGACCUGUAUGGAACAUUGUAUUGGCCACUUGUCCUCCAAUCUGUGGACUACCAAACUGCUGUCCACCGAUUGGCUGUCCUCCGAGUUGCUGUCCAAAAUUUAUUGGCUGGUUGGGAAUUCCCUGACCUUGGAACCCGGGAUAAACCUGCCCUUGCUGGAACCCCGUAGUCUGAUAACCCUGCUGGGGCGACUGUGGAAAGGCUUGCUGUCCAAGCCAUCCAUUAUUAGCGUUCAUCGGCAUAGGUGCUGCCGAUGAUUGGUAAUUGGGUAUCGUCGUUGAAUUGAUAUACCCCGACUGGGCCAUAGGCCUCUGUUGCAUCAGCAUUGACUCUGCCGAUGCGUUGGGCAUCUGGAACAUUGAAUCUUGAGGAUUUCCAGUGUGAGGCCUUGCAGUAGUAGUUGUGGUAUACCGAGGACUCUGGUUCACCGGCACAUUGGAAGGUACCGACGUCAUAGGAGUUUUGCCCCUCAUGUCAGUUGUCUGUGAUGUUCCCGGCGUCAACUCUGGAGGCAUACCAUAACCCCACCAGUUGGGGGAAAGAUUUAACCCUGACAUUGCCGAUGCCAACAUAUCUGUCGUCAGUUUAUGCUGCCCAACUGAAAUUUGGGGGUUGGUUGCCAUCGGCAUAGAUAGUGUACCGGUAGUCCCCAAUGUACUUGGAGGGACGGCAGACUGUGCACUUGCACUCGUCAAGGCAGCCGAUGGAGCCGUGACCUCUGGUGCCGUGGGUUGAUGAUGGGAAGGGCCCACAUAAUCCGGCGGGAUUUGUCCUUCCUUGAAAGUUCUUGCCACGGCGUUGAACACCGUGUUAGACAGUACACCAGCUUGGUUGAUCAGCGCUCGAUUGAUGGCAUUGUCAACCAUGUCUUGAAGCUUGCCAGGAUUAGCGUCGAAAGUGACCUGCCGUGGUGCCGGCAGUGCAUCUUUCUGGACCACUUCGCCGCUUCUGUUUAUGCUGAAAGACUUCAGGCACUGCUGCUUGAACUCUUCCAUGGCUUGGGCAAUAGCUUGCUUCUGCUCAUCCUUAAGGUUAGCUUCCGUCACGGGGAUGACAUUGUCUUGAUGGAGGUCAGAGAUCGACAUGCUGAUCUUGAUCUUGAAUCUGUCCCACCGAGCGUGCCAAAAGAUGUGUUGAUGCAAAACAGAUCUGCAAACACAAAGGGCUAAUACCCGAUUCAAACGUUAAGGCGUGCCAGCCGAUUUAACCUUACUAUCAGCAAAGGUGAUAACUCGAAUACUUUAGUCCUGACAACAGCGAUGCGCCCGGAUGUCACGGCUAAGAGGUACUCACGCGGAACUUAAGGAUACGCCGAGCUUCAGUCGACGAAUUCCUAAGAACUCGUAACAAAAAGAAAAACGUAUGACGAAGUCGUCGAAAAGUAAAUGCUAGAAUAUGAGUAAGAGCGUGUGUUUGAUUGAUUGAUAGAUGUCCUGAUUACAAGGUCUUAGGGCUUAUAUUUAUACCCUGCUCAAAGAGCUACGACCAGACACGAUUAGAAUUCGAAUUCCAAAUUACACGGAACCCGUAUACAAAACGACACGAAUAACAUAAGGAAAUAAUAAAACCAUCCUUCGUGACAAACCGAAACUCCUCCACAUGACAACUGGCAGCUUCCGGACUCCUCCUUCGCGUCAUCGGCAAUCCCCUUGCCAUAGUCAUCGGCAGACCCUUUUACUUGGUCAUCGGCACUAUAUUACUGUCUGGGGACUUAGUCACAUUCAACCCUUCCCUCAUCGGCAACCAUCCUUACCAGCAACCCGCAUCGUACUGCCACCCUGUCCUGCCAUCCUGGACACGUGCCCAAAAAUGGUGUCAACACCACCCGAGGAACCCCAGUAGCUCCGCCAAGAACCCUGCAACCGUUUGCGCCCCUGAACACAAGCUCUACCCUACCAUAGCUCCAACCCGAGCCGUUCUUCUCCAACCCCGGCCGAAACACCGCCGCGAACACUCCACCGUGGCCAGCGUCACUCCGAGCCUCUCCACUACCGUUUCUUGCUCCGUUGGAAUCGCGGUGAGCCACCGAUGCUUUCGCGCUGUUCAAUUCGCGCUCUAUUCGCUCGCAAUGGCCGGCGUUUGCUCGGCCGAGGCGGCCGUCCGCCGUGCCCGUGGUCACGGGGGCUAGGAUAGAGGAGAGUGGGUGAAAAGGGUGUCUCUGGGUGCGCGGGAGGUUGGGGAAGCUAGCACGUCUCAUCGCGGAGGCCGGGAGCCCUCCGGCAGGGAGCUGGAGCUCGCUGGAGCCGUGGCGGGAGGUAGGCGAAGCAUCUGACGGGCGGGUCCCGCCCCUCAGUGACCUCGCGAGUGGGUGGAGUGCGCGCGCAGCUGGAGUGCAUGGGCCGAGCGCUCGGGCCGGCUUGGGCCAAAGCCAAGCGGGCUGGCCGCGUGACCACUGUGUUUUUCUUUUUCCUUUUUGUUUAAAAAUGCUGAAUGUUUGAAUUUGUGUAAUAAAUCUUGUGUUGAUCCAAAAAUCAUGGAAAUUUUUGUAUAGAUUCCCUGAAAUAAGUAGAACCCAAGAAAAAUAUUAGAUUUUAUUUUCUAAUAGUUUACAUGUGUAUAAAAAUUGCCUCUUUUUUUUUAAUGAAUAAAAUUUCCAUGAAUUUUAAUAAUUUAGUGAUAUGUCCAAAAAUCAUCAAAAGUUAUGGGGAGUCUCUGAAUAUUAUUCCCUAGCUCCACACAAAAUUUGAUGGCAUUUGGAUAACGUUUGAAUAAAAUACUAUUAAACCCCUAUUUGGUAAUUUAAUAUUAUGUCUAGAAUAAUUAGAUAAUAAUUAGUUAAAUCCUCAUGAUUAGGGUUGAGUGAUUUUGGGAUUGUGUGAUGACCUAAGGUCAUUAACCUUAAUGGCCUUUGGCAUUUAAUUAUUGUUUGGUCUUAAUGCUUAAUUCCUAUCAUUAAUAGUUAAUUAAUAAUUAAUUAAGAUAAGAGGAUUAAUAAUUAGUUAAUUUAGGAUAAUUAUGAAUUAAGAAAAAUACUAAUUUACUAAUGCAACCUCUUGGGUAAAGACACUAAGAUGUUAAACAACUUUAAUUAUUUUUUAUUCUGUGUUGCACCGAGGAGGCCAGUUGUACUUGACUUGGUCCCUUUUUGCAUAUUUGUCAUACGCAUAUCAUGAGCAUUCAUCAUUUUGCGUAUAGUGCACGUGACCGAAGGAGCGACCGUUGAACCGAACCCCGAGAUCGGUGCUCCGUUCGAGGAAGUAGGAUCCGAGACUUGGGAAGUCUCCGAGGGACCCUCUCUGCCCUGCAACCAAGGCAAGCCCCGGAUGCAUUAACCCCUCCUUGAAUGUUUUAAAUCUUUUGUCACUUAUAAAUUGAAAAUGCUGCAUUAGGUAGUCGAGAAUUGGGUUAACCUACUUGCUGCAUUUACUACCUUGAUAUUUGUUAUCUUGUCCUUGGCACCUGUUUUAUUUUAAAAACUGCGUAGUGAUGCUUAGCCCUGCUACUAGAUAGGUUUUCAAACAAGAAAGUUUGAAGGGUUGUUGUGGAAUGAACUUAUGAUCAAUGAGGUUUCAACUUGAGACCGGUCGGUGGACUUGCUUUAAGAAUGGAGUCUUAAAGUAGUGUCUCCAACUGUGUCGGUUAAGGACCGGUCCGUUGAUGGCCUGCUGGGUUGAGAAUUUAUAGUACUAGCCACUUGCCCUCGGUAAGCCCGAUCUUUAAUCCCUCGACGCCAACAGCUACUCGCACACUGGGCGUGGAGCGAUGGCGAGAGUAGUGUGUACCCACCUUACGGAUCUGAGAUGACCGGGAAACAUCUAGAUCGGCUGUAGGAUGGUGGAGUACUAUGCUCUCGGGUGCCGCGAACCUGGUCAAAUUUGGGGAGAGCUUGCUUUGGGUUGACAUAUGCAAGAUUUGGAUCUACAUAUGUCGGGUGGUUAGGAACUCCAGCUGGAUUGCUAAGCGAUUCGAAUCGUCGUUGCUCCCCGAUUGGGAGACUCAAUUCCUUCGACCCUCAUCGUAGUUAAUUAUGCAACUAAGUGAUAAAAUGAGAAAGGGGAAAUGUCUCAUGAGGUUCAAAUCCCAAUUCCCGGACUCAGAGUGACAUGAAGCUAUGGCCAUUGGAUGUAUAAUACUUUAAUUUAGGACUAGGAACUCACAGACUUGUCUGUGGGAGGCAACUAGAUGGACUGUCUUCGAACUCCUCGGCCUCUUCAGGAGAGGAAUUCGCGGGUAAAACCUGAAAGUAAGGAUGCACUAUUAGUAAGCUUUUUGGCAAAACAUUUUGGCUCCUUGCUCAGCCACCCCUUGUCUACCCCAAGCCUACAUCCCUAAUUUCUUCUCUUUUUCUGCCAGGUAAGUCUUGUUGAGUACUCCCGUACUCAGGGUUUUAUAACCCCUGUUGCAGGUGAAGUCCAGGAGCCGACUUGUUUCGGACCCUGUUGUGUGACCGUCGUCGAGGUUGACGACGAAGAAGAGUGAGCGUGACCCAUGGGCAGGGUCUGUAAAUUUGUAAUUUGUGUUCUGAAAUUUAAGUUGUUCCGCUGGACCUAGCUUGUAAUAACACUCUACUAUUUCGAUGAACUCCUUUUGUAAAUUAAGUUAUGUAAUACUUCCGCUGUUUUACUCUGAGUUAUUAUUUUGGUCUUAUAUCGUCUGUGGUACUGCAAUGUCUUCGCAACGAGUGAUCCUGGUGCUAAGGUGGCCACGUGCUAUCCUGUAAGGGCGAGGAGAAGAAGUUCUCGUUAAUUGACCAUCACCAGUGGUCAGGACGAGUCUGCUUGAUACGCCACAGGUAGCAGUGGAAUGAGCAUCCAGCAAUGCUCAUCGGACUUCUAAAGUGGGAGGAUCCCCGGCAUCACCGUCAGAGGUCCUUAGGACAAUGACAGGUGUCGGUGGGCCCAAACACUUAGGGGGUUCUGCCACACCUAUGAGCUCCAGAUAUCAAGCCUUAUUAGAGUAGGAUGAGAGAGAAGGCAAUGUCACUAUGCCUCAUACCAAAAACACCACAUACUUUGAGAGAAGGCAUAUACCAUCACUGCCUUGGUAAGGAUCCAGAAAUACCACAAAAGAGAGAUUUGAGAGAGUCAUACAAGGAAUCUCUAAGUUUUAUUUAAAAAUCUGCAAAAACUCCAGAGCUAUAGUUAAUCAAAAAACAAGAGAUAUGGCGCUUGACUAGACUGUUCUAUCUUUUAACCACUCA
rnacentral:lncRNA from 1 species